UACAGAGGGGGCAAGCGUUGUUCGGAAUUACUGGGCGUAAAGGGCGCGUAGGCGGCCUGUUAAGUCGAACGUGAAAUCCCCGGGCUCGACCCGGGAACUGCGUCCGAUACUGGCAGGCUUGAAUCCGGGAGAGGGAUGCGGAAUUCCAGGUGUAGCGGUGAAAUGCGUAGAUAUCAGGAGGAACACCGGUGGCGAAGGCGGGUCUCUGGGCCGAUACUGACGCUGAGGAGCGAAAGCGUGGGGAGCGAACAGG
rnacentral:rRNA from 1 species